AGCUCGUAGUCGGAUGUCGGGCUCGGGCAGGAUGUCGGCUUCGGUCGGACGUCCAGCUCGGGUCUUUCUGCCUGAGGAACCGCGGCAUUAACUUGUCGUUGGGGACGCAGGCCGUUUACUUUGAAAAAAUUAGAGUGUUCAAAGCAGGCCUACGCUUGAAUACAUUAGCAUGGAAUAAUGGAAUAGGACUUUGGUGCUAUUUUGUUGGUUUAUGGGACCGAAGUAAUGAUUAACAGGGACAGUUGGGGCCGUUUAUAUUUCGUUGUCAGAGGUGAAAUUCUUGGAUUUACGAAAGAUAAACUUCUGCGAAAGCAUUCGGCAAGGAUGUUUUCAUUGAUCAAGAACGAAAGUUAGGGGAUCGAAGACGAUCAGAUACCGUCGUAGUCUUAACCAUAAACUAUGCCGACUAGGGAUCAGUGGAUGUCAAUUUGCGACUCCAUUGGCACCUUGUGAGAAAUCAAAGCCUUUGGGUUCCGGGGGGAGUAUGGUCGCAAGGCUGAAACUUAAAGGAAUUGACGGAAGGGCACCACCAGGAGUGGAGCCUGCGGCUUAAUUUGACUCAACACGGGGAAACUUACCAGGUCCGGACUUAGUAAGGAUGUACAGAUUGAUAGCUCUUUACAGAUUCUAAGGGUGGUGGUGCAUGGCCGUUCUUAGUUGGUGGAGUGAUUUGUCUGGUUAAUUCCGCUAACGAACGAGACCUUAACCUGCUAAAUAGCGCUGAGUUUCUUUUCGAAACGAAGGUGUCUUCUUAGAGGGACGUCACGUGUCUAACGUGAGGAG
rnacentral:rRNA from 1 species